rnacentral:rRNA from 1 species
UUCAUAGAGUGUAAAGGCAUAAGGGAGCUUGACUGCGAGACCUACAAGUCGAGCAGGGUCGAAAGACGGACUUAGUGAUCCGGUGGUUCCGCAUGGAAGGGCCAUCGCUCAACGGAUAAAAGCUACCCCGGGGAUAACAGGCUUAUCUCCCCCAAGAGUUCACAUCGACGGGGAGGUUUGGCACCUCGAUGUCGGCUCAUCGCAUCCUGGGGCUGUAGUCGGUCCCAAGGGUUGGGCUGUUCGCCCAUUAAAGCGGUACGCGAGCUGGGUUCAGAACGUCGUGAGACAGUUCGGUCCCUAUCCGUCGUGGGCGUAGGAAAUUUGAGAGGAGCUGUCCUUAGUACGAGAGGACCGGGAUGGACAUACCUCUGGUGUACCAGUUGUCGUGCCAACGGCAUAGCUGGGUAGCUAUGUGUGGACGGGAUAAGUGCUGAAAGCAUCUAAGCAUGAAGCCCCCCUCAAGAUGAGAUUUCCCAACUUCGGUUAUAAGAUCCCUCAAAGAUGAUGAGGUUAAUAGGUUCGAGGUGGAAGCAUGGUGACAUGUGGAGCUGACGAAU